UAGGGAAUCUUCGGCAAUGGACGAAAGUCUGACCGAGCAACGCCGCGUGAGUGAAGAAGGUUUUCGGAUCGUAAAACUCUGUUGGUAGAGAAGAACGUUGGUGAGAGUGGAAAGCUCAUCAAGUGACGGUAAUUACCCAGAAAGGGACGGCUAACUACGUGCCAG
rnacentral:rRNA from 1 species